GUGCUCACUUUGGCAGCACAUAAACUGACCACUGGAAUGAUUCAGAGAUUAGCAUGGCCCCUGUGCAAGGAUGACAUGCAAAAUCAUGAAACAUUAAAAAAAAAA
rnacentral:snRNA from 1 species